CAGUUAUCUCAUUGGUCAUUGCCGGCAGUGCUUCUCGUCGUCUCCGUCUUGUGCGAAUUGUUCUCGUGUCCUUUUUCUUCAUUUGGGAAGUAGAGGUUGGGGCAGGUGUUAUUUGAAUAUCGAGUGCAUUUUAGUCCCACAUUGGAAGUUUCAUAAACCAUUGCUUAAUUUUAUAUUUCGGUCGUCGACGGAGAGUUGUCUCUUCGGAGACAUCCGAUAAAAUUGGAACGAUACAGAGAAGAUUAGCAUGGCCCCUGCGCAAGGAUGACACGCAUAAAUCGAGAAAUGGUCCAAAUUUUUUUCCCUAACCUGCAAUUGCCGAUUUCUACUCGCAAAGAUCUUGUGAAAGCUGGUGAUCGUUCAUUUGAAAUAGAAGCUGCAAACACAGGAGGAACCACUUGGAUUUGAAAACUCAUUGCAUCUCUUCCAAGAGUCUUGCUACAAGGUGAAGAUGCUGACAUUGGCAAAGAAUGACGAGUAGGGAUGACAAUAGGGCAAGGUUGUCUUUUCAAUUCUCAUUUGAGACCAAACAGAGAAUGAAGAUGUGUGUAAAUCAGUCCCUUUUUUUGAAAAGAGGUCGUUGUUCGACUUUGGCCUGUCAACUCCUUCACAGUACUAUGAUGAGCGCACACAAGGAUUCUUUACCGAAUUAAAAUUCUGAAGCAGGCAGAGGGAAGAGCUGCAUUUUGGUUCCAUAAACGAUUGCCGAAGCAAGGAUCUAGGAAAAGUGACCAUAGGAAACACAACAGUGAACUGUUAGCUGGAAAUUGCUUGUCACGCCAUUGAGAUUUUGAAGGCAAAUUCCGAUUCUUCAUGAUUGCAUUUAUUUUAUUGUUAGGAACAAGAACCUCUUUGAACCUCUUUUUCUCAUGUUAAAUCUGUUGUAAGAUAAAGCUCAUUGCAUUAAACCUCGUAUAGCAUUCAUUUAUUUUCCUUUUGGUACAUAAAAUGUUAUGUGAGUUUAAUUUGUAUGUACAAUACAACUUGUUUCAACGAAGAUUGCAUGAUAAGGAGAGUGUGAAAGGGUUUGGCCAAUUAGGGAUUCAAGCUGACCUGUUGAACACUCCUUCAGGCCCCUCUUCGUCGAUGGCAGGCCACCGGCAAUGCUGUCAACGCAUACGCAGCUCUCCUCCGCUUCAUUGUUAUUUCUCUGUUGUUCCUGGUAUCUCAUUGCCCGAAGUAUUUCUCUUCGUCUCUGUCUUGUGCAAAUCGUUCCCAUGACCUUUUGCUUCAUUUGGGAAGUAGAGGUUUGGGCAGGUGUUAGUUGAAUAUCGAAUGCACUUUAGUCCCACAGAAAGUUUUGAUUUAAUGUAGCUUGUGUUUAUACUUCGGUCGCUCACAAGUUUUUUUUUCUUCGUCUUCCUUGUAGAUUUCAUCAUCCUUCUUUUUGUGUUCAAAACCCUAACUUGUGUAUUUUUUUCAUCAUUGUUGUGCUUUCUGAUUCUUGGCUCCUUUUCUUGAGUUCGUUUAAGAAUAUCAAAGUGUAAUUGGAAUAUGAGUAGAUUGUGUGCUUAAGAAUUAUAUCUUUUUUUAAAAAAAUAAAAUCUGGAGUAUGAAAUAGUUUAUUUGCUUCAUGUGAAACAUGAAGUAUAUUCAUAUUUUAUUUGCUUCCAAAUUUCGAAUAGAUUAUGUUGUAUCUUUCAAAUGAGCUUUUCU